rnacentral:rRNA from 1 species
AGGAAAGGAGACAAGGGCACAUGAAGGAUGCCUUGGCUCUCGGAGGCGAUGAAGGACGUGACAAGCUGCGAAAAGCCGCGGGGAGGGGCAAAUGCCCAGUGAUCCGCGGAUGUCCGAAUGGGGCAACCCGCCGGGAGCGAUCCCGGCAUCCGGCUAUAUUCCGGAGGCGAACGUGGGGAACUGAAACAUCUAAGUACCCGCAGGAAGAGAAAGUAAGAACGAUUCCCCCAGUAGCGGCGAGCGAACGGGGAUGAGCCCAAACCGGCGGCGUGGCGACGCGCGUGCCGGGGUUGUAGGACCGCCGACAGGAGGGGGCGGGGUCAGCGGAACCGGCUGGAACGCCGGGCCGAAGCGGGUGAAAGCCCCUUACGCGAAGACCCCAGCCACCGGCAGGCGGCACCUGAGUAGGCCGGGACACGAGAAAUCCCGGUUGAAUCCGCGGGGACCAUCCCGCAAGGCUAAAUACUACCGAGAGACCGAUAGCGAACGAGUACCGUGAGGGAAAGGUGAAAAGCACCUCGGACAGAGGAGUGAAAAAGACCCUGAAACCAUGCGCCCACAAGCGGUCGGAGCCACCUAGUGUGGUGACGGCGUGCCUUUUGCAUAAUGAACCUGCGAGUUGCCGUCGGCGGCGAGGCUAAGUGCCUGAGGCACGGAGCCGGAGCGAAAGCGAGUCCGAACAGGGCGCCGAGUCGCCGGAGGCAGACGCGAAACCGAGUGAUCUACGCAUGGUCAGGAUGUAGGACAGGUAACACUGUCUGGAGGUCCGAACCGGUAAGCGUUGAAAAGCUUUCGGAUGAACUGUGCGUAGGAGUGAAAGGCCAAUCAAACUCGGAGAUAGCUCGUACUCCCCGAAAUGCAUUUAGGUGCAGCCCGGGCGAGACUACCGCGGAGGUAGAGCGACCGAUAGGAUGCGAGGGCUUCGCCGCCUAUCAAGUCCUGACGAACUCCGAAUGCCGCGACAUGAUGCCCGGGAGUGAGGGCGCGGGUGCUAAGGUCCGCGUCCGAGAGAGGAACAACUCAGACCACCGUCCAAGGCCCCGAAAUCCGGGCUGAGUUGAAGGCAAUAACGAGGUGGGGCCGCAGCGACAGCUAGGAUGUUGGCUUGGAAGCAGCCAUUCAUUUAAAGAGUGCGUAACAGCUCACUAGUCGAGUGGUCCCGCGUGGAUAAUAAUCGGGCAUAAGUCCGUUGCCGAAGCCGUGGAAUCCUGAUGACUCAGGAUUGGUAGGGGAGCAUUCCGGUAGCCGUCGAAGGCAUGGCGCGAGCCGUGCUGGAGGCCCCGGAAAAGCAAAUGUAGGGAUAAGUAACGACAAGGAGGGCGAGAAAC